CAAAAUGUAGCUCAUUCGGGUAGAGCACUUGACGUUUAAUCAAGGGGUAGUGGGUUCGACUCCCACCAUUUGAA
rnacentral:tRNA from 2 species